rnacentral:rRNA from 1 species
CGCCGCGGUAAUACGUAGGGGGCGAGCGUUGUCCGGAUUCAUUGGGCGUAAAGAGCUCGUAGGCGGCUCAGUAAGUCAGGUGUUAAAGCUCCGAGCUCAACUCGGAGAGGCCAUCUGAUACUGCUGUGGCUAGAAUCCAGUAGGGGAGCGUGGAAUUCCUGGUGUAGCGGUGAAAUGCGCAGAUAUCAGGAGGAACACCAGCGGCGAAGGCGGCGCUCUGGGCUGGAAUUGACGCUGAGGAGCGAAAGUGUGGGUAGCAAACAGGAUUAGAUACCCUGGUAGUCCACACCGUAAACGUUGGGCACUAGGUGUGGGGAGGAAUCAACCCUUUCCGUGCCGUAGCUAACGCAUUAAGUGCCCCGCCUGGGGAGUACGGCCGCAAGGCUAAAACUCAAAGGAAUUGACGGGGGCCCGCACAAGCGGCGGAGCAUGUUGCUUAAUUCGAGGCAACGCGAAGAACCUUACCUAGGUUGAACUACGCAGGAACAGCCACAGAGAUGUGGUGUCCUUCGGGGCCUGCGAGAGGAGGUGCAUGGCC